UACAGAGGGUGCGAGCGUUAAUCGGAAUUACUGGGCGUAAAGCGUGCGUAGACGGCUAUCUAAGUCGGGUGUGAAAGCCCCGGGCUCAACCUGGGAAUUGCAUUCGAGACUGAAUAGCUAGGGUACGGUAGAGGGAAGCGGAAUUUCCGGUGUAGCGGUGAAAUGCGUAGAUAUUGGGAGGAACACCAGUGGCGAAGGCGGCUCACUGGACCGGAACUGACGCUGAGGCGCGAAAGCGUGGGGAGCAAACAGG
rnacentral:rRNA from 1 species